rnacentral:rRNA from 1 species
UACGUAGGGGGCAAGCGUUGUCCGGAUUUGUUGGGCGUAAAGAGCGUGUAGGCGGCCUUACACGUCAGCUGUGAAAACUCGAGGCUUAACCUCGAGAUGUCAUCGGAAACCAGUUGGCUAGAGUCCGGAAGAGGAGAGUGGAAUUCCUGGUGUAGCGGUGAAAUGCGCAGAUAUCAGGAAGAACACCAAUGGCGAAAGCAGCUCUCUGGGACGGUACUGACGCUGAGACGCGAAAGCGUGGGGAGCGAACAGG